rnacentral:rRNA from 1 species
UAGGGAAUCUUCCGCAAUGGACGAAAGUCUGACGGAGCAACGCCGCGUGAGUGAAGAAGGAUUUCGGUUCGUAAAACUCUGUUGUUAGGGAAGAAAAAAUGUAUAGUAACUAUAUACAAAAGAGACGGUACCUAACCAGAAAGCCACGGCUAACUACGUGCCAGCAGCCGCGGUAAUACGUAGGUGGCAAGCGUUGUCCGGAAUUAUUGGGCGUAAAGCGCGCGCAGGUGGUUUAGAAAGUCUGAUGUGAAAGCCCACGGCUCAACCGUGGAGGGUCAUUGGAAACUAAUAAACUUGAGUGCAGGAGAGAAAAGUGGAAUUCCUAGUGUAGCGGUGAAAUGCUUAGAUAUCAUGACGAACUCCGAUUGCGCAGGCAGCUUACUGUAGCAUAACUGACGCUGAUGCUCGAAAGUGCGGGUAUCAAACAGG